GGUCGUUUAGCUCAGUGGUUAGAGCGUCUGCUUUACAUUUCCUACAAGAUUUGUGACACCGCAGAAGGUCGCAGGUUCGACCCCUGCAACGAUCA